ensembl:lncRNA
CCUGUGUUCCCAAGGAUCACUGUAGACCAUAAUUUGAAUGAAUAAUACCUCAUAAUUUUGGUCAAAGAUUGAUUGAGUGCCUAGCACGUGCAGGUAGGGUGUUGUGUUAGAAAGAGCACAAGCUGUAAGUAGAGAGAAACUUGGGUUUGAAUCAUGCCCGCACCACUUUUAUUUACUGUGUAUUAGUCCAUUUGUCAUUACUAUAACAAAACACCUGAGACAAAUUACUUUUGGAGAAAAUAGGUUUUUUUAGUUCUGAAGAUUCAAGAGCAUGGUGGCAUCAACUUGGCUCUGGCGAGGACCUUUGGUGUCAAGCAUGUGUAGGAGUAAGAAUCACAUCGCCAAGCAGGAAGCCAGACAGGCAGGAUGAGGCCAAGCUAAAUUUUUUAUUUUAUUUGUUAUUAUUAUUAUUAUUAUUUGGUGCUAGGAUAGAACUCAAGAGCACUCUUCCACUGAGCUACAUCCCCAACCCUUAAAUUUGUUUUCUUUUUCUGAGAUAGUCUCACUAAGCUGCCCAGGAUGAAUUUAAAUUUGCACCCUUAACCGUAGGUCCCAAGUAGCUGCAAUUAUGGGUGUGCACCACUAUGCCCAGCUAAAGUUUUUAUAAUAACCCCCUCUCCCAAGAACUAACCAGGAUCUUUAAUCCCCUCUGAGGACACAUCUUCAAUAGACCUAAGAACCUUCCACUAAACCCCAGCUGCUAAAAGGUCCAUGCCACCUACUGACACUGCGAUCCUGGGGAACAAACUUCCAACACAUGAACUUUUUAGGAGAUAACACCCAAACCAUGGUACUAUAUGAACUUUUCAAGAAAUAUAACUGAACUUCAGCAAAACAGGGACAAUAAUAUUCACUGGCAAAGUUACCAAGAGGAAUAGUAAUAGUAUAUUAUAUGUAAAGGGCCUUGCUCAUAGAAGCAGUCAAUAACUAGUAGCUGUAAUAAUGUCCAAGAGACACAGUGAGUAGUUUCUGGAAUAUACACAAAGGGGACACAGACAAAGUGCCUUGGCCUGUGUAAUGUGCUAACAUGCCUUCACACACACAUACACAUGCACACACACACACAUUCUUUGAGUUCCCCCAAAGAAAUGGGAGAACAGAUUCUCUUCCAGCCCUGUUUUUAUAAGACUGAGGUUUAGAGAAGUUAGAUAAUUUCAGAUCACCCUGAUACUAAGUGAAGGAGAUGGAGUUCAAACUGCAUCCAUAAGAGGUUCACUGUCAGAAGAGAAAUGAGCUGUGCGGAAAUAGAUAAAGAACAACACAGAUUUGCUAGGAGUCAGUUAGGUGGCAGAACCAAAAAGUAAUAGGAGUUUAGCGAGGCAGGUAUUUCUGCAGAUCAGGUAGCUGGAGGAAGCAAAAGGAAACUAGAGGAUUAGAACUCAUUUUUCUUGCAGUACAUCUCUGUGCUCCUGGCUGUCACCAUCACAGCGGCCUAUUGGUCCUGGAAGCCCAGCCUGGCUGCUGAAGGGAAGGAGGCUUUGGUUCAGCUCCCUUUAGUUCAUGGCAUGUGAAUAUGCAGGCCUUUUCAUUUCACUUUAAAAUUUUAUCAACCUGUGAUUCUUUUCAGCAUUACUGCAAAAGUUCAUUGCCAGAGUUGUUUUUCUUCAAUUAGCACAAAACCCAGGUACUAUUUAUAGAAAUACGUUCUAAAUUGUUUUCUCUAAAAUUAUAUGCUAUGAUGUUGAGCUUGAUUUGCACUUGAUAGUUUUCAAAACAUCACUGGGCUCUACUGCUGCCAUACCCUGGCUCCUAGUGGGUGUUAACAGCAAUUCGUUUACUUAAUAUAUGUAGGUACUGAAUGCUUUUUAUGUGCCCGACACUGGAGUUGCAGGCUUCUUGGAACAUACAUUCUAUGAUUAACUAACGAAGGCUAUAGGAAUUUAAUUUGAGUAUCAAUAAGUUUUAACAGAUCAUUAAUAAAAACUGGGGUAAACAAACUUUGUGGCUUUAAUGAAAAUAUCGUAUACAAUGUCACACAGAGAAAUUAAUAAUUCCAUGUGACAGGAAUUUUGGGGGAAAAUUUCACGUUUGGGCCUGUAAAUAAGUCCUCCUGUAGACUGAGGUCAAGUCUAUGAAGCAGAGUAGUUUACACAUCUUUGAAAUUUGAUCUCCAUUUCAGUUGAAAAGGUCAAAAUUGGAUUACAGCAUCUUGCCUUUCCUCUUCAGGGAUCCUUAGGAUCAAUGACUAAUUCCAUUUUUUUGGGUUUUUUUGGUACCGGGGAUUGAACUCAGGUCCUUGCGCUUGUGCAGCAGGCAGCAAAACCACUGAGCGAAAUCCCCGGCCUUCUAAUUCCAUUUUUUUUUAAGUUAGAUAGAAGGUAGCCCAUGUACUCAGCCUCUGGAGGUCAUGUCUAGUUUGACCACUUCCCAUUGUGCAUAAUGCACAGAUUAUGUAUUUGUGGCUGUUCUGUGAGUAAUGUGGAAUAUAUGCUUUUAGGUGUUUUAAAGUACAUGAGGAGGUUGAAUUUCAGUAGCUGAUGGGAUUCUAAAUGUUUUAGUUUUUAUUAUUCUAGCCCCCUCAAAUUUCCCUGGAAUUGUUACCCAUUAGAGCAUGUUUCUUCCCAGAAUGUUCUUGGAAUUCUGUAUUUAUGCUACUGUUGUAUUGCUCAGGAGAAAAAUAGAGCUUUUACUGAGUUCCAGUAAAUUUAGGAUGUGGUCUGAUACCUCCCAAGGGAAAAAAGGCAAAGACUGGUUUAGCUUGGGGUUGCAUGCUUCAUUCUUCACUUGGUUUCGCUUCCUUUUCCAUUUUAGUGGCUUCCCAUUUCGUCCUGUGGCUUCCUGUUCCUUGACUAUACUUUCCAUAGGCAAAGUUGUUUUCUCAGAAGCUGCAUUUCUCCUAGGUUGUUCUCUCUCUCUGGCCCCUGUUGUGUUUCUUCAGAGGUCUGGCUGCUGCUACAGCGCUUACCUCAGAUCCAGGCCAGCCUUGCCAGGCCUUGCUCGGCCAACCCAGCCUUCCAGCUGCCACUCAGCAGCUCAGCACCAAAACCUUCUCUCACAUGAAUGCUUUCCAAGGAACAAAUGCAGAACCCUCUGUUUGGGUCAGCUGACGUUGAACAAGGGCCGGGCGGGGGAGAGGGAAAAGCAUCUAGGACCAGUCUUCCCAAGAACAAGUACUUCUAACUUAAGGAAUAAGGGGAAAUUUGUAUUUUAAAACCAUUCAUGGGCCAGGGAUUUAGCUCAGUGGUUCCACCACCUGCCUUGCAAACUCAAGGUCCUGAGUUUGACCCCCUGGUACCAAAAAAAAGAACCUUCAAUAACUAAAUACCUAGAUGAUGAUAGGAGGGAAGUACUCUAUUAGCCUUAAGAAUAACAAAUAUAGAGAAGUUACUAGAUAUUUGGGCCCCCAAGAUAGCUGAGAACUCAUUUAUCAGCUCCUCUACUUACCAGCUAGGCACCGAACCGGGGAUGGAACUCAGUGGUAGAGUGCUUGCCUAAGACACACAAGGUCCUGCGUUUCAUCCCCAGAACCAGAAAAAAGAAAGAGAAGAAAAGUGGCACCUCAUGUAAGAACCUCUGGAUUCUGUCUUGUCUUUAAUACGUGUGCGUGGUAGGGUGCAGGGGUUGCUAGAAGUCACACAGAUAAAGCAAUCACAAGAUAAAGGUUGUUAAAUAAAGUAUGGUAAUUCUGCUGAAACCUGUGAAGAGUCAAAAUGAGUCCAUGGACCGUGCACCCUGGGCCCCUGGACUGAUACAUAAUCCUUCUGGGAUAUUUUGCUUUUAUGACUUCAGCUGUAAGAUGACACUGUUCUUUUGCAACAGCACACCAAGACUAGCUAAUUAAAAUGCUGUACCGGCUCAUUCAAGAAAUAUUUACUGAGUUUCUACUACACGUAAGGUAUCAUACAAACAGACUGUGUAAUAUUAUAUAAAAAAUUUAAAA